rnacentral:rRNA from 1 species
CCCAGCUUGCUGGGUGGAUUAGUGGCGAACGGGUGAGUAAUACGUGAGUAACCUGCCCUUGACUCUGGGAUAAGCCUGGGAAACUGGGUCUAAUACUGGAUACUACUUCCUGCCGCAUGGUGGGUGGUGGAAAGGGUUUUACUGGUUUUGGAUGGGCUCACGGCCUAUCAGCUUGUUGGUGGGGUAAUGGCUCACCAAGGCGACGACGGGUAGCCGGCCUGAGAGGGUGACCGGCCACACUGGGACUGAGACACGGCCCAGACUCCUACGGGAGGCAGCAGUGGGGAAUAUUGCACAAUGGGCGGAAGCCUGAUGCAGCGACGCCGCGUGAGGGAUGACGGCCUUCGGGUUGUAAACCUCUUUCAGUAGGGAAGAAGCGAGAGUGACGGUACCUGCAGAAGAAGCGCCGGCUAACUACGUGCCAGCAGCCGCGGUAAUACGUAGGGCGCAAGCGUUGUCCGGAAUUAUUGGGCGUAAAGAGCUCGUAGGCGGUUUGUCGCGUCUGCUGUGAAAGCCCGGGGCUCAACCCCGGGUCUGCAGUGGGUACGGGCAGACUAGAGUGCAGUAGGGGAGACUGGAAUUCCUGGUGUAGCGGUGAAAUGCGCAGAUAUCAGGAGGAACACCGAUGGCGAAGGCAGGUCUCUGGGCUGUUACUGACGCUGAGGAGCGAAAGCAUGGGGAGCGAACAGGAUUAGAUACCCUGGUAGUCCAUGCCGUAAACGUUGGGCACUAGGUGUGGGGGACAUUCCACGUUUUCCGCGCCGUAGCUAACGCAUUAAGUGCCCCGCCUGGGGAGUACGGCCGCAAGGCUAAAACUCAAAGGAAUUGACGGGGGCCCGCACAAGCGGCGGAGCAUGCGGAUUAAUUCGAUGCAACGCGAAGAACCUUACCAAGGCUUGACAUUCACCGGACCGCCCCAGAGAUGGGGUUUCCCUUCGGGGCUGGUGGACAGGUGGUGCAUGGUUGUCGUCAGCUCGUGUCGUGAGAUGUUGGGUUAAGUCCCGCAACGAGCGCAACCCUCGUUCUAUGUUGCCAGCACGUGAUGGUGGGGACUCAUAGGAGACUGCCGGGGUCAACUCGGAGGAAGGUGGGGAUGACGUCAAAUCAUCAUGCCCCUUAUGUCUUGGGCUUCACGCAUGCUACAAUGGCCGGUACAAAGGGUUGCGAUACUGUGAGGUGGAGCUAAUCCCAAAAAGCCGGUCUCAGUUCGGAUUGAGGUCUGCAACUCGACCUCAUGAAGUCGGAGUCGCUAGUAAUCGCAGAUCAGCAACGCUGCGGUGAAUACGUUCCCGGGCCUUGUACACACCGCCCGUCAAGUCACGAAAGUUGGUAACACCCGAAGCCGGUG